CUCUCUCUUUCUCCUUCUCAUCGGUCCCCCACCACCUCCAUACCGGUCCUGCCCUGCUGGAAUAAACAUCCUAAAGUACCUGGUUGCAUCUGGUGCUUUCGGCUCACGGAUGAAUCUUCAGAACAUUUCUCCUGGCCCUCAGCCACAAGAAGCUCCACAGCCCAAGUGCCUCUGUGCUUCCAGAAUGCCCACUCAAGUUCUGAAGGAGUCAGAGUGAAGCCUGAUCAUCCAGCGCCUCCAACCCACAAACUCCUCCUCUAGUUUGUUUCCAGCUGCAGAUGGGGUAUGUGAAUUUUGUUAAAUGGAGGAAAAUGUUCUCUGAGCUUAAUGCUCUGGAAUGAGCACACACUAUACCAC